UUCACAGGCUGAUGAAGAGAAGAUACCAUAAGUAGAGACCAGGGAAUACAAAAAGAGUAAAAGUGAGAAUGGAAUGGACCAGGAAAAGUAUUUGUUUUGUGCUGGCCUCAUGGUACAAGAU
rnacentral:lncRNA from 1 species